AUAUUUUCUAACGUUAAUGUAUUGUAGGACAUUACCAAAGGCUUCAAUUAUGAGUAAAUUCGUAUGACUAUGCUAAGAAAUUUAUGAAAUUAUGCUUUGUUUGGUUAUCUUAUGGAUAUUCAGCAAAUGCAACGUGACAUUGAGUUUAGGAGUAUGCUUUGUUUGCUGUUUUGCUUUGUAAUGUGGUUAUGUUGUUCAAAUCAGAUUCUUGUUUUUUAUGGCUCUAUUGUAAUAAUUGUUGUUUAGCCAUAAGAACAACCAAGAGAUAUAUUGUUCUCUUAUCUAUGUAAUCAAGCAAAUCACAAGCACCAAAUAAUAUGUAGGAAAUUGAUGGUUCAAGUUCAAGCUUCAGUCAACUGUUUGGAAUUGAAGGUAUUAUACAAAAAAGUUUAUCUUACCAUGUUUCUCAAUUUGUUUUUUAGGAAGACUUGAAUGAACAAGUUACAAUAUUAUCUUGGUAAGACGGUUAUGUGGUUGCACUUGGUUUAAUAAUUUUUUUUUUUUGUGGUGUUGUUUCAAAUACUUAGUUUAACAAGGAUCUACCUUCCGCAUUGCGCAAUAAAAGUUAUGUUUGGGAGCUAUCACUAAACAAAUGACUGCAAUAGAAGAAAUAGUUGCAAGUGAGUACAAUUAGCCAGACCCUCAUCUUUGUGACAAGAUCUUGAAGUUGGUCAUUUGUGAAGCGUUCUAGUUUACUAUUAGUUGCAGUUUUAGUUAUUGCUCUCUCAAUAUAUUCUUUUUCUUUCUUUCUUUCUUUUUUUUCCCCAAAGGAUGAUCAGUGUAAUAAUUAAACUUCAUAAUUUCUUUGUGUUUGGAGCAAGUUGUAUAUAAAUGUACACAUUAUUAAGAUUUUA